GAUGAACGCUGGCGGCGUGCCUAAUACAUGCGAGUCGAGCGAAAAGAUAAGGAGCUUGCGCCUUUGACGUUAGCGGAGGACGGGUGAGUAACACGUGGGUAACCUACCUAUAAGACGGGAAUAACUACGGGAAACCGGGGAUAAUGCGGGAUAACAUUUAGAAGCGCAUGGGUGGAAAGAGAAAGAUGGUGGUGGGAGAAGUUAUAGAGGGACACGCGCCGGAUUAGGUAGUUGGUAAGGUAAAGGCUUACGAAGGCAAGGAGUCGUAGCCGACCUGAUAGGCUGAUCGCCCACAUGGGAACUUAGACACGCUCCAUACUCCUACGGGAGGCAGCAGUAUGGAACCUGCCGCAAUGGUCGAAAGCCUGACGGAGCAACGCCGCGUCAGUGGUGACGGCCUUCGGUUCGUAAAACUCUGUUUUUAGUUAAGAACAAAUGUGUCCGUAGCUGUGCACUUCUUGACGGUACCUAAUCAGAAAGCCACGGCUAACUACGUG
rnacentral:rRNA from 1 species